AGUGAAAGAACCUCUGCACUGCCGAUGCCUUGGUAAUAAACGACAGCCGUUUUUCAUCUUCUAACCAUUGUUUUCUCUGCAUGCAUGUAAUCACGGCUUAUAUUGUUAUUCUUCCACCAUAAUUUUGUGGUUGGGUUGUUGAUUCUCGGCCCAUCUCCUUUUCGAAGUUUGGAGCUCGAAGAGCACAUGACUUCAGAUUAGUUUGUUCUGUAAUUCUGCAGAUAAUACAAGAAACUUCAGUAAGGAUGCAUUACGUCUCUGGUUUUCCUUUCCAUAUGAUUUUUGCUUCUGCAGCUAGGGUCAGUUGUGCUAUGAUGAUCUUUGUAAAAACUGCAUAUCCACUAUUGCUGCUAAAAUGUGUUUUUUUUGCCUA